rnacentral:sRNA from 1 species
CAUCCGAAUUGCCAUUCAACGUUUUCGACAAGACUUAUGCCAAUUUCUGCAAAAGAGUAGAAGCCAUGGAUCAUCUCCCUCUUGAGCUGAAGGUCAAUUCAGACGGAAGCAAUGCGAGCCCCGUUAUAGUCGUCCAGGAUCCUUCGAAUUAUCCGUGGUGGCCUCUCUUUGGUUUCCAAAAGCGAACACCACCUCCCAACCCCGCGGCGUUCGACGAUGUCCAUAUCAUUUUCGAGUGGUUACCGCGACCCAGACCCUGCAAGAUGAGCUGCAAAAACGCACUCAGCACAAUCACCGCGUCUCCUUGUGGACAAACCGGCGGCCAGAUGAACACAAUGGCAGUCUCUGGGGAAAUUGACGUAGGGUGCGGCGUCUACAGAUACAGACUUGAUGGUCCAAAGGAUGUUGUACCACCACCCCCCGAAAAAGAACCAGAUCCGAUAAAGCCAGAGCUCUCAAAAAUCCACUGCUACAAAACAA